rnacentral:lncRNA from 1 species
CGGGGUGGUGUGUUUGUGUAAAGGGUGUUUGAUUUAGUAUUUCCGGGUUUUUGGUUGAUGGUCUGUGUUUGUAUUCUAUGGUUAGUCUAGUGUGUGUGUUUCUAUGUUUGGUUAAUUGGGGUUAGGACUCUCAGUUGAAGGCAGGUGUUGUCUAUCUGCCUUUGAUUGAGAGUCCCAUAUAUUAGGGUAUGUUUGUGUGUGUGAUUUGUGGGUGAUUGUUCUGUGUUGAGCCUAUGCUUUGCAGACUGUCAGUUUAUCGUUCGUUUUCUUGUUUGUUGUUUUUGUAUUCGUGUUGAUUUAAUUAAAUGUUCAAAAUGAACAACUGCACACCUGCUGCGUAUUGGUCUACCUUUUCCGAUGACGAUUUCGCAUUAUCGUCAGAAGACGAAGAUACUUGUGACAAUAGGUCUACAUUAUUGCAGCUAGCAUUCUGAACUACUAAAUAGGUCUACAUUAUUGCAGCCAGCAUUCUGAACUACUAAAUAG